UGGGGAAUUUUGGACAAUGGGCGAAAGCCUGAUCCAGCAAUGCCGCGUGUGUGAAGAAGGCCUUCGGGUUGUAAAGCACUUUUGUCCGGAAAGAAAUCCUUGGCUCUAAUACAGUCGGGGGAUGACGGUACCGGAAGAAUAAGCACCGGCUAACUACGUGCCAGCAGCCGCGGUAAUACGUAGGGUGCAAGCGUUAAUCGGAAUUACUGGGCGUAAAGCGUGCGCAGGCGGUUUGCUAAGACCGAUGUGAAAUCCCCGGGCUCAACCUGGGAACUGCAUUGGUGACUGGCAGGCUAGAGUAUGGCAGAGGGGGGUAGAAUUCCACGUGUAGCAGUGAAAUGCGUAGAGAUGUGGAGGAAUACCGAUGGCGAAGGCAGCCCCUGGCCAAGUACUGACGCUCAUGCACGAAAGCGUGGGGGAGCAAAACAGGAUUUAGAUACCCCUGGUAGUCCACGCCCCUAAAACGAUGUCAACUAGUUUGUUGGGGGAUUCAUUUCCUUAGUAACGUAGCUAACGCGUGAAGUUGACCGCCUGGGGGAGUACGGUCGCAAGAUUAAAACUCAAAGAAUUGACGGGGU
rnacentral:rRNA from 1 species